rnacentral:rRNA from 1 species
AGUGAACGCUGGCGGUAGGCCUAACACAUGCAAGUCGAACGGCAGCACAGUAAGAGCUUGCUCUUACGGGUGGCGAGUGGCGGACGGGUGAGGAAUACAUCGGAAUCUACUUUUUCGUGGGGGAUAACGUAGGGAAACUUACGCUAAUACCGCAUACGACCUACGGGUGAAAGCAGGGGAUCUUCGGACCUUGCGCGAUUGAAUGAGCCGAUGUCGGAUUAGCUAGUUGGCGGGGUAAAGGCCCACCAAGGCGACGAUCCGUAGCUGGUCUGAGAGGAUGAUCAGCCACACUGGAACUGAGACACGGUCCAGACUCCUACGGGAGGCAGCAGUGGGGAAUAUUGGACAAUGGGCGCAAGCCUGAUCCAGCCAUACCACGUGGGUGAAGAAGGCCUUCGGGUUGUAAGGCCCUUUUGUUGGGAAAGAAAAGCAGCAGGUUAAUACCCCGCUGUUCUGACGGUACCCAAAGAAUAAGCACCGGCUAACUUCGUG